AGCAAAAUACAUUUAUAUAGCAGGGCAUCUUUGUACGGGGAAGGAAGCUAUUCUCUAUGGUGUUAUUACACAUUAUUGCAGCAGCAAUUUUAGUUGAUGAUGGUGAAGUAGGCGGUGUGUAUGUCACCUUAAAUCGUGUAAAUUUGUGCUAGUGAGACAAGCAGAACCGAAAAAAUUCUGCUAGAUUUUCGAAAAUAGUUAAUUUUAAUGUCUACACGUCGUCGAAUUGCGUCGUAUUAGCGUAUAUGUGAUUGGUAUUCCGGAGUUGAGAAUUUUUUGCUGGACAAGAUGGAUCCUUCUUCGAUAAUCGUGCUCGAUUCCUCAGACGAAGAGUCUGGAGAACCGAAGCGUCGUAAGGUGCUCCCUCCAAACCCCGGCAGGACUUAAUGGUGGUGCCCAUACGUUGAACAAGAAUCCCGAACCUAACAAAAUCCGGCGCAUCAAGCCAAUAACCAUUGCCACCAAUCUCAGCAAGGAAGCGGAAAAUAACAAUCGGACACCGGUCAAUGAAAACUUUGCCGUUAUCAGCUUCUCCGAUGAAUGGGAAAAGGAUCACCUGAAGUACCAACAGAUAAUAAAGGAACAUGAACAGCAAAGACAACGGA